rnacentral:rRNA from 1 species
UACGUAGGGUGCGAGCGUUAAUCGGAAUUACUGGGCGUAAAGCGUGCGCAGGCGGUUCUGCAAGUCAGAUGUGAAAUCCCUGGGCUCAACCUGGGAACUGCAUUUGAGACUGCAUGGCUAGAGUAUCGAAGAGGGAAGUGGAAUUUCCGGUGUAGCGGUGAAAUGCGUAGAUAUCGGAAGGAACACCAGUGGCGAAAGCGACUUCCUGGUCGAAUACUGACGUUCAUGUGCGAAAGCGUGGGGAGCAAACAGG